CCUACGGGCGGCAGCAGUGAGGAAUAUUGGUCAAUGGGCGAGAGCCUGAACCAGCCAAGUCGCGUGAGGGAGUACUGCCCUCUGGGUUGUAAACCUCUUUUGCCGGGGAGCAAAAGCCGGACGUGUCCUGCUGUGAGAUUCCCCGCACUAAAAGCAUCGGCUCACUCCGUUCCAGCAGCCGCGGUCAUACGAAGGAUGCGAGCGUUAUCCGGAUUUAUUGGGUUUAAAGGGUGCGCAGGCGGAUUUUUCAGUCACCGGGCAACUCGUGGGGCGCAACCCCAGCCAGCCGUUGAAACUGGUGGUCGAGAGUGUGCGAGAGGUAGGCGGAAUGCGUGGUGUAGCGGUGAAAUGCGUAGAUAUCACGCAGAACCCCGAUUGCGAAGGCAGCAUGCCGGUGCACAACUGACGCUCAGGCGCGAAAGCGUGGGUAGCGAACAGGAUUAGAUACCCGAGUAGUC
rnacentral:rRNA from 1 species